rnacentral:rRNA from 1 species
UACAGAGGGGGCGAGCGUUAAUCGGAAUUACUGGGCGUAAAGCGUGCGUAGACGGUUAUAUAAGUCGGGUGUGAAAGCCCCGGGCUCAACCUGGGAAUUGCAUUCGAGACUGCAUAGCUAGGGUGCGGAAGAGGGAAGCGGAAUUUCCGGUGUAGCGGUGAAAUGCGUAGAUAUCGGAAGGAACAUCAGUGGCGAAAGCGGCUUCCUGGUCCAGCACCGACGUUCAGGCACGAAAGCGUGGGGAGCAAACAGG